UUCCAGACUCCUACGGGAGGCAGCAGUGGGGAAUAUUGCACAUGGGGGAAACCCUGAUGCAGCGACGCCGCGUGAGCGAUGAAGUAUUUCGGUAUGUAAAGCUCUAUCAGCAGGGAAGAAGAUGACGGUACCUGACUAAGAAGCCCCGGCUAACUACGUGCCAGCAGCCGCGGUAAUACGUAGGGGGCAAGCGUUAUCCGGAUUUACUGGGUGUAAAGGGAGCGUAGACGGCGAUGCAAGCCAGAUGUGAAAGCCCGGGGCUCAACCCCGGGACUGCUCUGGAAACUGUACGGCUGGAGUGCAGGAGAGGUAAGUGGAAUUCCUAGUGUAGCGGUGAAAUGCGUAGAUAUUAGGAGGAACACCAGUGGCGAAGGCGGCUUACUGGACUGUAACUGACGUUGAGGCUCGAAAGCGUGGGGAGCAAACAGGAUUAGAUACCCCUGUA
rnacentral:rRNA from 1 species